GAAAGAGAUUACAGUCCAGUGGAUCUCAAAACAGUGGGAGAAAGAAAACCCCUGGGAGGAAGGGGUUCGUAUUGCUCAGGGCUUCGAGAAGGAUCCCUGCAGGCAGAGCAUGGGAAGCCAGUGCAUGACCAUGAAACGUUGAAUCUGCUGUCACCUCCAGUGAAUCUGCCCCACGGGGAAACUUGUGCAGGGGACAGCUCUGGAGACAGCAGUGAACAGACCAGCUCCAACAGCCAGUGGAGUGAAGUUGGCCAGCACUAUGGAGGCUCCAGCACCUUCUGCUGCUUCAGCUUGGCCAUGGUGGAGCAGUGUCUGAGGGGAGAAGAGCUGCGAGCUCGACACCAGGCUGCCCUCCUCAAGCUCCGCAAAAAAGCUCUCCAGGAGAAAGCCAGGGCCGAGCUGGCCUGGCUGGACCACCAGAAACGGUGAGGGGGACAUGUUGUGGGCAGGACACCACAAGCCUGCUCUGACUGGGACAGGUCCUUCAGCAGGAGGUGGAGGUGCAGCUGCCUGCUCAAAGGAAGAAAACCUGUCCCUUCUCAGGAGAAGCAAAUAUAAAAUCCUUCUCUUUACAGAGUAAGCAGAAGGAGAGGAAUCUGCCCAGUUCUAUUUUCCCCAGAGCAUGGUCAAGCUCCCUAGUGCAGCCUCCUUCAGGUGUGGUGCGAGCCCCUCCUCAGUGCUGACUGGGCUGAGGUGCUGUUGAGGACAGAGUGAGCCCCCAGUGCAAGGUGUCCCUCGGUGCUGACUGGCCUGGGGCACCAUGAGGUUCAGUUUGAGCCCCCCCAGUGCAUGGCGUCCCUCACCAGCUGGUGCUGUGUACUGAGUGCUCAGGAAAG
rnacentral:lncRNA from 1 species